rnacentral:rRNA from 1 species
GUUCCGACCUGCACGAAUGGCGUAAUGAUGGCCAGGCUGUCUCCACCCGAGACUCAGUGAAAUUGAACUCGCUGUGAAGAUGCAGUGUACCCGCGGCAAGACGGAAAGACCCCGUGAACCUUUACUAUAGCUUGACACUGAACAUUGAGCCUUGAUGUGUAGGAUAGGUGGGAGGCUUUGAAGCGUGGACGCCAGUCUGCGUGGAGCCAACCUUGAAAUACCACCCUUUAAUGUUUGAUGUUCUAACGUUGGCCCCUGACCGGGGUUGCGGACAGUGUCUGGUGGGUAGUUUGACUGGGGCGGUCUCCUCCCAAAGCGUAACGGAGGAGUACG